CUACCCUUGACAUGGCAGGAAUCCCGAAGAGAUUUGGGAGUGCUCGAAAGAGAACCUGCACACAGGUGCUGCAUGGCUGCCGUCAGCUCGUGUCGUGAGAUGUUGGGUUAAGUCCCGCAACGAGCGCAACCCUUAACUUUAGUUGCCAGCAUUCAGUUGGGCACUCUAGAGUGACUGCCGGUGACAAACCGGAGGAAGGUGGGGAUGACGUCAAAUCAUCAUGCCCCUUAUGACCUGGGCUACACACGUACUACAAUGGCAAGUACAAAGCGCUGCAAACUCGCGAGAGGGAGCCAAUCGCAAAAAGCUUGUCUCAGUUCGGAUUUGGAGUCUGCAACUCGACUCCAUGAAGCUGGAAUCGCUAGUAAUCGCAGAUCAGCACGCUGCGGUGAAUACGUUCCC
rnacentral:rRNA from 1 species